GAGCCAGGAAUUAGAAAGAGCUUGGCCUCUCUCUCUUUCUCUCUUACCCCGUCUCCCUUUUCUCUCUCUUCUUCAUCAUGGUACUGCCGCAAACAUGGCAGCCAUUCAAGGACGCUAUUUGUCACCGCCUCUAAUCCUACUCGCAAGCCAACCGACGUUCGACUUCACUUUACGAUCUCAUCAUGGUUGGCUGAUUCAUCGUGUAGUAGACGGAGAGUUUGUCAGUCCGCCCAUCAACUUGACCGAUCGCCAGCUCCUCCUGAAGUUUCUUCGUCAACGGCAGACGAUGUGUGACCCCCUCGUGUGACCUCGCUUCCGGACUUCGCGAUAUCAACUCGUGAACGAGCUACGAGAUUUCAACCGAUCGUUUUACUUCGUCACACUUCUUAAUUCGUUCUAUCGGUGCUUCUCUUGGACUUUUUCGAGUGUUGCUCAAGAAAUAUCCUUUUUUGUUUGCUUUCUUCAGAAAUAUAUAUGUGAAGGAUUUUAAAGCAAAAUACAGUGUGAUGUUCCAAGUUCGGUGACGUAACGAUUUUAUAGAAAGUGUUCACCAUUAUAGUACGUAUCCACACACGUUUAUAUAUUCAUUGAUUUCUUUAGGGUAUAUCUCUUGGGUUGUGAAUUAAGAUAAAAAACAAAUCGAUCAGUGGUCUUCCAUUUCGAAAAGUACAUAUGUCAUUGUUAGCUCGUUCUUCGUUUUUGAUGCUGAGGAGUCAGCAAGGUAAGCACCAAAGGUGGAAUCUUCGGAGUCGUACUUUUUCAUCUCAAAUGACUAAAGUCAACAUAGACUUAGUCUCACGGUACGAACUGUACAAUCUUUUAUUAGCUAGGAACAUUUGACCAGGACCGUUUUUUGUUUGUUGUAUCAUGCCAUGAUUUCGGCUAGUGCGUUUAUAUAUAUAUAUAUAUAAAGUCGACAAGGAUAUGUUUGCGUCUGAGACUUGUAUAACAUGAAUUGUCCGCAAACCUGACGAAGUUUUCUGACGAAGAAUUCUUAAUUGAUAGAAUUAUAUAUUCGAACAAAUUUGUGUUUUACGUUCUUGUUCAGUAUUAGUAUAUCGACCAUAGUAGGAAUGGUACUUCUGAACAAGUUGAUUAAAUGAUCAAGAAAGAAAUUGUUUGUUAAAUAAUAGGAUUUAUUAAUUUCUUUUGUAAUAUCUAGGAUCUUUAUAUUCGGACGUAUUUCUUUAAAAUUUUGUCUAAAAUU